UUUGAACUACUUGCAUAACCCAGAAGGGUUAAAGGUUGUUCAGACUGAUAAAAUCCAGUGUUCCGUUUCCCGCACAUGAUCUCAAGUACAACAGUACCACCAAAGCAGAAAACAUUGGAUUGAAGAGAAAAGAAGCCAUAUAGUGCAUACUCUGGAGACAUAUGGCCACUGCAUUUCACCAUAAGUGAUAUUAGGUAUGCAAAUUCUUUUUGAAACACAGUUGGGGAAUCGAAAUUAUGCUUUCUUACUAAGUUAAUUCCAACUAUUCCAGCAGUAUAAUUGAUCGCGGAGCCAUGUUAAAAAUCUCUUAUCUUUUCUUUAUUUUCAUGUGUAUGGUUUGGUUAAUGCAGGAGAUCUCUAUCCAAUCUGCAUUUCGCUCAACCAUCCGGCAUCAGAAAAUGGAUACAAACUAGAAGUACUCUGCUCUUCCCAGCCAUGCAGCCGCUUGUCACCAAAAAUGGUAAGUCCUGGUUGAACUCCAGAAGUCUGUUCAUGGGAGAAAUUCUUCUACAUCCCAAAAAAAUCUCCACCAUUCCACUUUCUUGGAAAAUUUGGUUGGAAUCCUGGCAAACACUUGCACAAAAUCCAAUUUCUACAAUUUUAGCUGGCAAAACUCCCACGGGGAUUAUUCCCACUGCACCUAUCUUUUGGUUUGUGGAAAAGCGAAUACCAAGAGGCCGUCUCAUUACGGAACUGUAGAUGCUGUAUCUCCCAGGAAAAUUUCAUCGCCAGCCUCCUAUAAUCAAGAGAGGCUGUAUCUUGAAAGUGAUAAUCAUAUCCUCCAAGUGAGCUUUUUC
rnacentral:lncRNA from 1 species